rnacentral:rRNA from 1 species
CGGAGGGUGCAAGCGUUAUCCGGAAUCAUUGGGGUUUAAAGGGUCCGGCAGGCGGACUAAUAAGUACAGUGGUGGAAAGCCCAUCGCUUAACGAUGGAACUGCCAUUGAUACUGUUAGUCUUGAAUUCGGUCGAAGUGGGCGGAAUGUGUCAUGUAGCGGUGAAAUGCAUAGAUAUGACACAGAACACCGAUAGCGAAGGCAGCUCACUAGACCUGGAUUGACGCUCAGGGGACGAAAGCGUGGGGAGCGAACAGGAUU